rnacentral:rRNA from 1 species
UACGUAGGUGGCAAGCGUUGUCCGGAUUUACUGGGCGUAAAGAGCGCGCAGGCGGUCGUUCAAGUCGCGUGUGAAAGCCCCCGGCUCAACUGGGGAGGGUCACGCGAUACUGAUCGACUCGAAGGCAGGAGAGGGAAGUGGAAUUCCCGGUGUAGUGGUGAAAUGCGUAGAUAUCGGGAGGAACACCAGUGGCGAAAGCGGCUCUCUGGGACGGUACUGACGCUGAGGCGCGAAAGCGUGGGGAGCAAACGGG